rnacentral:rRNA from 1 species
UACGUAGGGUGCGAGCGUUAAUCGGAAUUACUGGGCGUAAAGCGUGCGCAGGCGGUUCGUUGUGUCGGCGGUGAAAACCCCGGGCUUAACCUGGGAAUGGCCGUUGAAACUGGCGAACUGGAGUGUGGCGGAGGGGGGUGGAAUUCCGCGUGUAGCAGUGAAAUGCGUAGAGAUGCGGAGGAACACCGAUGGCGAAGGCAGCCCCCUGGGCUAACACUGACGCUCAGGCACGAAAGCGUGGGGAGCAAACAGG